rnacentral:rRNA from 1 species
UACGGUAGGGGGCUAGCGUUGUCCGGAAUCAUUGGGCGUAAAGAGCGUGUAGGCGGCCCGGUAAGUCCGCUGUGAAAGUCCGGGGGCUCAACCCUCGAAUGGCCGGUGGAUACUGUCGGGCUAGAGUGCGGAAGAGGCGGAGUGGAAUUCCUGGUGUAGGCGGUGAAAUGACGCAGAUAUCAGGAGGAACACCGAUUGCGAAGGCAGC